rnacentral:lncRNA from 1 species
UAGCUUCGGCAGGGACGGUGCCCAUCAGUUCCCGAUGUUGACAAACCAUGCAUCCAGCCGCCCACACGUGCUCUCCGUUCGUCACAUACCGUACUCGAACUCCAAUGUCCGCAGAGCGUGUGCGCGAAAUCCACACGCCACACACGCAAGUGACAGCCGCCCGUCCUUGCACAGCAAGCAUCUCCGCGCACGGUCGCACGCUUCUCUAGCCCCAACGAACCGCAAACCACAAAUCAAGUCACACCCACCUCAGCAUUAGAAGUGCACACCCGCCUAUCGAAUGUCGGAUGAUGAUAAGGCAACAAGUAGGUCUAGAGAAAUGAAAGCUAGUAGGUCUACUGCACCCAUGCAUGGAUGGAAAGAAUCAAUGGACCUGUGGAUAUAGGAUCCGGCCUCCUCAAGGGUCCUCGCGCAUUUACUAAAGAGCCAAGGGGUCUAGUAUGUAAGAAUCAAUGCCAGUCUCAAGUCAAGCACACUGAUGCCGGUUCCUGGCAUCUGGAAUGCCAGAAGGGUCGGAGGAACUUGCACACACAGAACGUACACGUCGUGUCACUGACAGCCCACUCGAGUCUCGUAAACAGAAAACAUAGUGCCCGCUCCUGCAGCGAGCCAAGAUACGGUAACCUCGAUACUUCUUUGUGUGUCACCGCGGUACGCGCACACACACGGAUCCACGGGCUUCCUCUCCGCACUCCUUCUGUCACACCCGUGCGAUAGAUCGUUUCGGACGUCACCUCUCCUCCGUCCCAUUACGAACCUGUAGCCCCAGGCAGCCCUGCGUCCAUUGGCACAGCGCCCCUCGCCACCUGCCACCCUCCCGCUCAGCAAAUAAACGCACGCGCGAGAGCAAAACACCAGCAGGUCCAUAGUAUGGCCAAGGGAGGCUGCCGGUUCCCCGGUCCCAUACAGUCACACAUACAUCUUAUUAAGAAACAUCAGCAGGGUUUAGUUGGCAAGUCUCAGUAGAGAAAUAGACAUCCAUACAUCACCCAAUGCGCGUGGCAAUAUCGCACUGAGUGCUUGCUUGCGCUAGCAAUCCAGCAUCAAGUACGGCCUUUGACACUCCCGCUCGCUCACAUACGGUGAAAUAUCAGUACAGCACGGCAACACUUGCGCGAAUCAGUCCUGACUCCUGCGGUAAACGCCGACUACCGUAGCACGCCCUGCUGUCGUGCUGACAAUGAGAAAUGUGCGGCGGCACAGCCCUGCUGGUUCACUUGAUAGUGGGCCCGAUCAGUAGCUAGUAGCGGCGAUUUGCCUAGCUGUCUAUACUUGCACGCAUACGCUGCAGGCUUUGCCGCCUGCCAUUCAACACACUCCUCAUGCCCUGCUGCUGGCUCGCUUCGAUACUGUACCAUCCACACACGUACGUGUGAGGAGCCCCUCUUGCGCCCGGCCACCAGCACCAAAGCUGCGGCGGCUGCGGCUGCUACUGCUACUGCUGCAUCUUCAAAUGGCGAAGGCAGCAAGCCGCUGGCUGCAGGCUCAUGCAGCUGACGGCGUAACACGGAAGCCAAACGGAACGGAGCGGGCCUUGCCGCUACCAGGCCGCCACCGCUGCCGGUGGCGGGAAGCAGCCGCACGCGCGCUCCAACGCGGCAAACUCCUCCAGCUCCCUUUCCUGCUCGGCCCACGCCGCCGCCGCCAGCUCGAGCGGCCGCCGCUGGGGGUGCCGCCGGUACCGCUGGCAGCUGAUGCCGCCGCCGCCUGCUCCGCCAGGCCCUCCUUCAUCCAGUGUGCGAGCGACCCGAGGUCGAGCUCCUCCUCCUCCUCCUCAACGUCAUCCGCCCAGCGGCGGCCGCUGGGGGUGCCGCCGGUGCCGCUGACAGCUGCCGCCGCCGCCUGCUCCGCCAGGCCCUCCUUCAUCCAGUCUGCGAGCGACCCGAGGUCGAGCUCCUCCUCCGCCUCCUCGUGCGCCUCAACCUCAUCCGCCCAGCUACCGCUCGCGCCACCGCUGCUGCUAAUGCUGGCGCGAGGAGCAAUGCUGCUGCUGCUGCCGUCAGACUCUGACGCUGCCGCGGGCGCGGCCGGUGCGGCUUCCGCCUGCUGCUGCUCGGCCGCCGCGAGCUCCGCCAGUCCCUGCUUCACCCAGGGCGUCUGCUCAAAGAGGUCGCUCAGGUCGAGUCCGUCAGCCUCAUCCUCAUCAUCAUCGCCCCAUCGCGGCGUGGUCGAGCUGCGGUCGACGGUGGAGGUGGAGAUGGGGCUUGCAGCGGCGGCGGGCUUGGUCGGAGCCGCGAGCUUGGGCACCUUGGGCAGGCCGGGCGGCUUCUGCGGGCGCCAGUGGUUGUCGUAGGCAUGGCAAAGCUGGCAGGGGGCGCUCCUGCAGCCAGCAGAUAGGCUGGCAUAGCACCAGCGCAUGCAGGACUUGUGAGGAAAGCAGCAGGCGCUGGGGGCAGGCUCCUGCUGCUCCUGCUGGUGGGCGGCGGCGGAGGGCUCGCUCUCAUCAGAGCCGUGGCCUUGGCUGCGGGGCGUGUGGCGCCAGGCGUCCUGUGCAAACGAGAUCGGGGGAAAAGGAUAGAUGGGGGCGGACAAGCCGUGAGUGCACGGGACGAGGACAAGGGUCGGGGCGCAGAGGGCGGGACAAAGGACCGGGGGUCGGGGACUCGAGCCCCGGCAAAAAAGUCAGGCGCACCGGAAAGGCACGCGCUUUCGGUCAAAGCUGUUGACCGACGCAUUUUACGUGACAAUACAUGCAGCAAUAUGCAGCCAGUGUGGCCGCAGCAGCGCAAGAAGGAAGGCCGAGGAAGCCGAGCGCACUACCGUACUGGCCCGAAAUCUGCAACGCUAUCUAGCCCGCAUCAGAAGCCUAAUGCUUUGCAUGUGGCAUCGGAUACCCAUUGCAGUUGCUCAAGGCUCAAAAUGGCCGUGCCCGAACAUGAAUGGUGCUCACCUGCAUCGGUCGGCUCGGCUCGAAGUCAAGCCCCGGUGCACUUGCGCUUGACCGUGAUGUGGCCAUAGUAGCUCUUGACCGCAACAAGCACUCUUCGCGCGCAGAACUCGAUUCUGCUGCUAGCGCAAUUCUUUCGCUUGACGGAAACUUUUCCUCGCGGUGCCCGGGAGGGAUUCGCGCUAGGAGCUGCUAGUUCGUGACAGUGGUGGUGCUUGCCGCAGCUUUCAUGCGCAUGCGGUGGAAAUCGAGAGAGGUUGCGAACAGCCCUAGAAAUGCUCUUCUUUGCCGUCAGGUGCUCGUAGCUAAGCAGUGGGCGUAAAAGCUGUUUGCGAGAUGUCUUUGCAUCUGUUGAAUGUGCAAUAUGAGCACAGCGCGAAGCUUUUAUCCAGUGGCGGGGACAGUGUCUCGGGCGCCCAUGCAGGCGACACGCGCCCAAUCCCGAGCCUCCCUCCUCGCCUUUACCUUGUCCCUGGACCCGCGCCAUCCGUGUCCCGCUGUUCAAUUCCCGCGUUUCAUACCAGUUCCCCUCCCCUGCGCAGGCCGGUAACCCCUGAUCCCGCCGCUGCCGGGGAUGCAGCCGUGCAGGAUGAGGCCUGAUGAGGUUGACGGCUGGGGAAGUUGGUGUGGGGAAGUUGGUGUAGGUUGGCGGUGAUCCAGCGGGGUGGGUGCCGAUGUGCUAUAGCGGGCGCGAGGCUGUACACGUCAGGAUCUGGCGAGUGUACUGCUUAACACCUACCGCUACGCAGUACUCCGGCUUGCCCCUCCCCCCUCAGGGCGCUCCAUGCCGUGCGCCCCGGAAUGCGGUGUGGGGAUGGGGUGGGGUGGGAUGGACUGGCGGAUGGUGGAAGUAUCAUAUAGGUCUGCUGGGGGCUGCGAGCAGCCAUACUACCGGUCAUGAUAUUGCCUUCGGUAGCUCAGGGCGCCGCGGGCUGGGGGUGGGUAAGUGAGCGGGGAUGGGGGCUCGGACUCAGCGGGGGCACGGACUCAGGGCGUGGAAGCCAGCGAGAAGUGGGCGAGAGUAACGCCGAUGUGCCGGGUGAUGUGCGAGCAGAAUACAGAACGCGGCAUUCGUCAUUACGGGGAAACUAAAACAGAUAGCGCCAACCUUUUGCGCCUCGCGCUUUCGCGCGCAAUUUCCAGGAUCCUCCAACGCGUCGAUUCCUCCGUCUUGCGUCCUUCCGUGCCGGGAGCCUUGAUUAUCGAUACAAUUUGUGAUAUAUUGUAUGUUGCGCUGGAGCUCUAAUGCAAACGCUGCGCUUGUGCGUUUACCCCGCUCUGGCAUAGGGCUUGCGUUUUCAUAAUGUUACGCUUUGCAAUACAUACAUAGAAAGGCGCAUUAUUUGCACGACAAAUUCCGCUGCGCUCGGGUUUCAAGGUUAUAACUCAAGUCAAAACUGGAAUAACCGGGAGGGCCCCCCGCGGCGAGCUCGAUGCGACCGCAAUGGCUAUUGCCCCUCCCCCUUCGGGGGAAGGGGCAAGCCAACCUGGCUUUGUGAUGGCCCCCAAGCGUAGGUGAGGUAGGCGCACGGCGGUGACAAGGCAUGCGGCCAGUGGAACUGCCUUACAGUUACAGCCCGCCCAAGCGCGGUUGUUGCCUUGCCAUGAUUUCCGUGCAGUCUGCUAGCUUCGGCAGGGACGGUGCCCAUCAGUUCCCGAUGUUGACAAACCAUGCAUCCAGCCGCCCACACGUGCUCUCCGUUCGUCACAUACCGUACUCGAACUCCAAUGUCCGCAGAGCGUGUGCGCGAAAUCCACACGCCACACACGCAAGUGACAGCCGCCCGUCCUUGCACAGCAAGCAUCUCCGCGCACGGUCGCACGCUUCUCUAGCCCCAACGAACCGCAAACCACAAAUCAAGUCACACCCACCUCAGCAUUAGAAGUGCACACCCGCCUAUCGAAUGUCGGAUGAUGAUAAGGCAACAAGUAGGUCUAGAGAAAUGAAAGCUAGUAGGUCUACUGCACCCAUGCAUGGAUGGAAAGAAUCAAUGGACCUGUGGAUAUAGGAUCCGGCCUCCUCAAGGGUCCUCGCGCAUUUACUAAAGAGCCAAGGGGUCUAGUAUGUAAGAAUCAAUGCCAGUCUCAAGUCAAGCACACUGAUGCCGGUUCCUGGCAUCUGGAAUGCCAGAAGGGUCGGAGGAACUUGCACACACAGAACGUACACGUCGUGUCACUGACAGCCCACUCGAGUCUCGUAAACAGAAAACAUAGUGCCCGCUCCUGCAGCGAGCCAAGAUACGGUAACCUCGAUACUUCUUUGUGUGUCACCGCGGUACGCGCACACACACGGAUCCACGGGCUUCCUCUCCGCACUCCUUCUGUCACACCCGUGCGAUAGAUCGUUUCGGACGUCACCUCUCCUCCGUCCCAUUACGAACCUGUAGCCCCAGGCAGCCCUGCGUCCAUUGGCACAGCGCCCCUCGCCACCUGCCACCCUCCCGCUCAGCAAAUAAACGCACGCGCGAGAGCAAAACACCAGCAGGUCCAUAGUAUGGCCAAGGGAGGCUGCCGGUUCCCCGGUCCCAUACAGUCACACAUACAUCUUAUUAAGAAACAUCAGCAGGGUUUAGUUGGCAAGUCUCAGUAGAGAAAUAGACAUCCAUACAUCACCCAAUGCGCGUGGCAAUAUCGCACUGAGUGCUUGCUUGCGCUAGCAAUCCAGCAUCAAGUACGGCCUUUGACACUCCCGCUCGCUCACAUACGGUGAAAUAUCAGUACAGCACGGCAACACUUGCGCGAAUCAGUCCUGACUCCUGCGGUAAACGCCGACUACCGUAGCACGCCCUGCUGUCGUGCUGACAAUGAGAAAUGUGCGGCGGCACAGCCCUGCUGGUUCACUUGAUAGUGGGCCCGAUCAGUAGCUAGUAGCGGCGAUUUGCCUAGCUGUCUAUACUUGCACGCAUACGCUGCGGGUGUGCCUCACAUACCAUAAUACCCAGUGCUGCUUCUUUCGCAUAUAACACACGCUCAGCAUGCCCUGCUGGCUCACUUCGAUACUGUGCCAUCCACACACGUACGUGUGACGAGCCCCUCUUGCGAACGGCCGCCGGCACCACAGCUGCGGCGGCUGCGGCUGCUGCUGCUCCUGCUGCUGCUACUGCUACUGCUGCAUCUUCAAAUGGCGAGGGCAGCAAGCCGCUGGCUGCAGGGCUCAUGCAGCUGACGGCGUAACACGGAAGCCAAACGGAACGGAGCGGCCCUUGCCGCUACCAGGCCGCCACCGCUGCCGGUGGCGGGAAGCAGCCGCACGCGCGCUCCAACGCGGCAAACUCCUCCAGCUCCCGCUCCUGCUCAGCCCACGCCGCCGCCGCCAGCUCCAUCGCCAGGCGCAGGCGCGAGGGCAUCACAGCUGACUGCCACUCAUCACCCUGCUGCACCGCCGCGAUCGGCGGAACGACACAGCUGCCCAUGCUGCUGCCGGCGGCGGUGCAGGCCUCCUUGUCAGCGCUAUGCUCCUCCACUGCCGCCUCCACCAACUCCACCUGCUGCGGCGUCUCACUGCCUGCCGCCGCCGCCACCCAGACCAGACUGCAGCUGCUGGCGCUGCGGCUGGUGCGGGCGCUGUCCGGCACGGCGCAGCAGCACGAGCUGAGCGGCGAGUCAGGCGCGUCCAGCCGCUCAGUGACGACGGCCACCUCCUGCGCCGCUUCGGCCGCCGCCGGCACGCACUCGCCCUGGGCCUCUGCUUUCCCCAUCGCCGCCAGCUCCGCCGCCAUCCAGGGCGACAGCGAGGCGAGGUAGGCGCCGAAAUCGCCGGCCUCCUCCGCCUCAACGUCAUCCGCCCAGCGGCGGCCGUUGGGGAUGCCGCCGGUGCCGCUGGCAGCUGCCGCCGCCGCCUGCUCCGCCAGGCCCUCCUUCAGCCAAUCUGCGAGCGACCCGAGGUCGAGCUCCUCCUCCGCCUCCUCAUGCGCCUCAACCUCAUCCGCCCAGCUACCGCUCGCGCCACCGCUGCUGCUAAUGCUGGCGCGAGGAGCAAUGCUGCUGCUGCUGCUGCUGCUGCUGCUGCCGUCAGACUCUGACGCUGCCGCGGGCACGGCCGGUGCGGCUUCCGCCUGCUGCUGCUCGGCCGCCGCGAGCUCCGCCAGUCCCUGCUUCACCCAGGGCGUCUGCUCAAAGAGGUCGCUCAGGUCGAGUCCGUCAGCCUCAUCCUCAUCAUCAUCGCCCCAUCGCGGCGUGGUCGAGCUGCGGUCGACGGUGGAGGUGGAGAUGGGGCUUGCAGCGGCGGCGGGCUUGGUCGGGGCGGCGGGCUUGGUCGGAGCCGCGAGCUUGGGCACCUUGGGCAGGCCGGGCGGCUUCUGCGGGCGCCAGUGGUUGUCGUAGGCAUGGCAAAGCUGGCAAGGGGCGCUCCUGCAGCCAGCAGAUAGGCUGGCAUAGCACCAGCGCAUGCAGGACUUGUGAGGAAAGCAGCAGGCGCUGGGGGCGGGCUCCUGCUGCUCCUGCUGGUGGGCGGCGGCGGAGGGCUCGCUCUCAUCAGAGCCGUGGCCUUGGCUGCGGGGCGUGUGGCGCCAGGCGUCCUGUGCAAACGAGAUCGGGGGAAAAGGAUAGAUGGGGGCGGACAAGCCGUGAGUGCACGGGACGAGGACAAGGGUCGGGGCGCAGAGGGCGGGAGAAAGGGCCGGGGGUCGGGGGCUCGGGCCCCGGCAAAAAAGUCAGGCGCACCGGAAAGGCACGCGCUUUCGGUCAAAGCUGUUGACCGACGCAUUUUACGAGACAAUACAUGCAGCAAUAUGCAGCCAGUGUGGCCGCAGCAGCGCAAGAAGGAACGCCGAGGAAGCUGAGCGCACUACUGGCCCGAAAUCUGCAACGCUAUCUAGCCCGCAUCAGAAGCCUAAUGCUUUGCAUGUGGCAUCGGAUACCCAUUGCAGCUGCUCAAGGCUCAAAAUGGCCGUGCCCGAACAUGAAUGGUGCUCACCUGCAUCGGUCGGCUCGGCUCGAAGUCAAGCCCCGGUGCACUUGCGAUUGACCGUGAUGUGGCCAUAGUAGCUCUCGACCGCACCAAGCACUCUUCGCGCGCAGAACUCGAUUCUGCUGCUAGCGCAAUUCUUUCGCUUGACGGAAACUUUUCCUCGCGGUGCCCGGGAGGGAUUCGCGCUAGGAGCUGCUAGCUCGUGACAGUGGUGGUGCUUGCCGCAGCUUUCAUGCGCAUGCGGUGGAAAUCGAGAGAGGUCGCGAACAGCCCUAGAAAUGCUCUUCUUUGCCGUCAGGUGCUCGUAGCUAAGCAGUGGGCGUAAAAGCUGUUUGUGAGAUGUCUUUGCAUCUGUUGAAUGUGCAAUAUGAGCACAGCGCGAAGCUUUUAUCCAGUGGCGGGGACAGGGUCUCGGGCGCCCAUGCAGGCGACACGCGCCCAAUCCCGAGCCUCCCACUCCUCGCCUGUACCUUGUCCCUGGACCCGCGCCAUCCGUGUCCCGCUGUUCAAUUCCCGCGUUUCAUACCAGCUCCCCUCCCCUGCGUAGGCCGGUAACCCCUGAUCCCGCCGCUGCCGGGGAUGCAGCCGUGCAGGAUGAGGUUGACGGCUGGGGAAGUUGUUGUGGGGAAGUUGGUGUAGGUUGGCGGUGAUCCAGCGGGGUGGGUGCCGAUGUGCUAUAGCGGGCGCGAGGCUGUACACGUCAGGAUCUGGCGAGUGUACUGCUCAAGCUGGCUUUGUGAUGGCCCCCAAGCGUAGGUGAGGUAGGCGCACGGCGGUGACAAGGCAUGCGGCCAGUGGAACUGCCUUACAGUUACAGCCCGCCCAAGCGCGGUUGUUGCCCUGCCAUGAUUUCCGUGCAGUCUGCUAGCUUCGGCAGGGACGGUGCCCAUCAGUUCCCGAUGUUGACAAACCAUGCAUCCAGCCGCCCACACGUGCUCUUCGUUCGUCACAUACCGUACUCGAACUCCAAUGUCCACAGAGCGUGUGCGCGAAAUCCACACGCCACACACGCAAGUGACAGCCGCCCGUCCUUGCACAGCAAGCAUCUCCGCGCACGGUCGCACGCUUCUCUAGCCCCAACGAACCGCAAACCACAAAUCAAGUCACACCCACCUCAGCAUUAGAAGUGCACACCCGCCUAUCGAAUGUCGGAUGAUGAUAAGGCAACAAGUAGGUCUAGAGAAAUGAAAGCUAGUAGGUCUACUGCACCCAUGCAUGGAUGGAAAGAAUCAAUGGACCUGUGGAUAUAGGAUCCGGCCUUCUCAAGGGUCCUCGCGCAUUUACUAAAGAGCCAAGGGGUCUAGUAUGUAAGAAUCAAUGCCAGUCUCAAGUCAAGCACACUGCUGCCGCUUCCUGGCAUCUGGAAUGCCGGAAGGGUCGGAGGAACUUGCACCCACAGAACGUACACGUCGUGUCACUGACAGCCCACUCGAGUCUUGUAAACAGUAAGAAUAGUGCCCGCUCCUGCAGCGAGCCAAGAUACGGUAACCUCGAUACUUCUUUGUGUCUCACCGCGGUACGCGCACAGACAUUAAUCUGCGGGCUCCCUCUCCGCACUCCUUCUGUCACUCCCGUGCGUCAGGUCGUUUCCGACGUCGCCUCCACUCCAUCUCCUACGUCCCAUGACUCACCUGUAGCCCCAGGCAGCCCUGCGUCCAUUGGCACAGCGCCCCUCGCCACCUGCCACCCUCUCGCUCAGCAAAUGAACGCACGCACGAUAGCAAAACACCAGCAGUCCGUAGUAUGGCCAAGGGGGGCUGCCGGUUCCCCGGUCCCAUACAGUCACACAUACAUCUUAUUAAGAAACAUCAGCAGGGUUUAUUUGGCGAGUCUCAGUAGAGAAAUAGACAUCCCUACAUCACCCAAUGCGCAUGGCAAUAUCGCACUGAGUGCUUGCUUGCGCAAGCAAUCCAGCAUCAAGUGCGGCCUUUGACACUCCCGCUCGCUCACAUACGGUGUAUUAUCAGUACAGCACGGCAACACUCGCGCGAAUCAGUCCUGUCUCCUGCGGUAAACGCCGACUACCGUAGCACGCCCUGCUGUCGUGCUGACAAUGAGAAAUGUGCGGCGGCACAGCCCUGCUGGUUCACUUGAUAGUGAAUGGGCCCGAUCAGUAGCUAGUAGCGGCGAUUAGCCUAGCUGUCUAUACUUGCACGCAUACGCUGCGGGUGUGCCUCACAUACCAUAAUACCCAGUGCUGCUUCUUUCGCAUAUAACACACGCUCAGCAUGCCCUGCUGGCUCACUUCGAUACUGUGCCAUCCACACACGUACGUGUGACGAGCCCCUCUUGCGAACGGCCGCCGGCACCACAGCUGCGGCGGCUGCGGCUGCUGCUGCUCCUGCUGCUGCUACUGCUACUGCUGCAUCUUCAAAUGGCGAGGGCAGCAAGCCGCUGGCUGCAGGGCUCAUGCAGCUGACGGCGUAACACGGAAGCCAAACGAAACGGAGCGGCCCUUGCCGCUACCAGGCCGCCACCGCUGCCGGUGGCGGGAAGCAGCCGCACGCGCGCUCCAACGCGGCAAACUCCUCCAGCUCCCGCUCCUGCUCAGCCCACGCCGCCGCCGCCAGCUCCAUCGCCAGGCGCAGGCGCGAGGGCAUCACAGCUGACUGCCACUCAUCACCCUGCUGCACCGCCGCGAUCGGCGGAACGACACAGCUGCCCAUGCUGCUGCCGGCGGCGGUGCAGGCCUCCUUGUCAGCGCUAUGCUCCUCCACUGCCGCCUCCACCAACUCCACCUGCUGCGGCGUCUCACUGCCUGCCGCCGCCGCCACCCAGACCAGACUGCAGCUGCUGGCGCUGCGGCUGGUGCGGGCGCUGUCCGGCACGGCGCAGCAGCACGAGCUGAGCGGCGAGUCAGGCGCGUCCAGCCGCUCAGUGACGACGGCCACCUCCUGCGCCGCUUCGGCCGCCGCCGGCACGCACUCGCCCUGGGCCUCUGCUUUCCCCAUCGCCGCCAGCUCCGCCGCCAUCCAGGGCGACAGCGAGGCGAGGUAGGCGCCGAAAUCGCCGGCCUCCUCCGCCUCAACGUCAUCCGCCCAGCGGCGGCCGUUGGGGGUGCCGCCGGUGCCGCUGGCAGCUGCCGCCGCCGCCUGCUCCGCCAGGCCCUCCUUCAGCCAAUCUGCGAGCGACCCGAGGUCGAGCUCCUCCUCCGCCUCCUCAUGCGCCUCAACCUCAUCCGCCCAGCUACCGCUCGCGCCACCGCUGCUGCUAAUGCUGGCGCGAGGAGCAAUGCUGCUGCUGCUGCUGCUGCUGCUGCUGCUGCUGCUGCUGCUGCCGUCAGACUCUGACGCUGCCGCGGGCACGGCCGGUGCGGCUUCCGCCUGCUGCUGCUCGGCCGCCGCGAGCUCCGCCAGUCCCUGCUUCACCCAGGGCGUCUGCUCAAAGAGGUCGCUCAGGUCGAGUCCGUCAGCCUCAUCCUCAUCAUCAUCGCCCCAUCGCGGCGUGGUCGAGCUGCGGUCGACGGUGGAGGUGGAGAUGGGGCUUGCAGCGGCGGCGGGCUUGGUCGGGGCGGCGGGCUUGGUCGGAGCCGCGAGCUUGGGCACCUUGGGCAGGCCGGGCGGCUUCUGCGGGCGCCAGUGGUUGUCGUAGGCAUGGCAAAGCUGGCAAGGGGCGCUCCUGCAGCCAGCAGAUAGGCUGGCAUAGCACCAGCGCAUGCAGGACUUGUGAGGAAAGCAGCAGGCGCUGGGGGCGGGCUCCUGCUGCUCCUGCUGGUGGGCGGCGGCGGAGGGCUCGCUCUCAUCAGAGCCGUGGCCUUGGCUGCGGGGCGUGUGGCGCCAGGCGUCCUGUGCAAACGAGAUCGGGGGAAAAGGAUAGAUGGGGGCGGACAAGCCGUGAGUGCACGGGACGAGGACAAGGGUCGGGGCGCAGAGGGCGGGAGAAAGGGCCGGGGGUCGGGGGCUCGGGCCCCGGCAAAAAAGUCAGGCGCACCGGAAAGGCACGCGCUUUCGGUCAAAGCUGUUGACCGACGCAUUUUACGAGACAAUACAUGCAGCAAUAUGCAGCCAGUGUGGCCGCAGCAGCGCAAGAAGGAACGCCGAGGAAGCCGAGCGCACUACUGGCCCGAAAUCUGCAACGCUAUCUAGCCCGCAUCAGAAGCCUAAUGCUUUGCAUGUGGCAUCGGAUACCCAUUGCAGCUGCUCAAGGCUCAAAAUGGCCGUGCCCGAACAUGAAUGGUGCUCACCUGCAUCGGUCGGCUCGGCUCGAAGUCAAGCCCCGGUGCACUUGCGAUUGACCGUGAUGUGGCCAUAGUAGCUCUCGACCGCACCAAGCACUCUUCGCGCGCAGAACUCGAUUCUGCUGCUAGCGCAAUUCUUUCGCUUGACGGAAACUUUUCCUCGCGGUGCCCGGGAGGGAUUCGCGCUAGGAGCUGCUAGCUCGUGACAGUGGUGGUGCUUGCCGCAGCUUUCAUGCGCAUGCGGUGGAAAUCGAGAGAGGUCGCGAACAGCCCUAGAAAUGCUCUUCUUUGCCGUCAGGUGCUCGUAGCUAAGCAGUGGGCGUAAAAGCUGUUUGUGAGAUGUCUUUGCAUCUGUUGAAUGUGCAAUAUGAGCACAGCGCGAAGCUUUUAUCCAGUGGCGGGGACAGGGUCUCGGGCGCCCAUGCAGGCGACACGCGCCCAAUCCCGAGCCUCCCACUCCUCGCCUGUACCUUGUCCCUGGACCCGCGCCAUCCGUGUCCCGCUGUUCAAUUCCCGCGUUUCAUACCAGCUCCCCUCCCCUGCGUAGGCCGGUAACCCCUGAUCCCGCCGCUGCCGGGGAUGCAGCCGUGCAGGAUGAGGUUGACGGCUGGGGAAGUUGGUGUGGGGAAGUUGGUGUAGGUUGGCGGUGAUCCAGCGGGGUGGGUGCCGAUGUGCUAUAGCGGGCGCGAGGCUGUACACGUCAGGAUCUGGCGAGUGUACUGCUCAAGCUGGCUUUGUGAUGGCCCCCAAGCGUAGGUGAGGUAGGCGCACGGCGGUGACAAGGCAUGCGGCCAGUGGAACUGCCUUACAGUUACAGCCCGCCCAAGCGCGGUUGUUGCCCUGCCAUGAUUUCCGUGCAGUCUGCUAGCUUCGGCAGGGACGGUGCCCAUCAGUUCCCGAUGUUGACAAACCAUGCAUCCAGCCGCCCACACGUGCUCUUCGUUCGUCACAUACCGUACUCGAACUCCAAUGUCCACAGAGCGUGUGCGCGAAAUCCACACGCCACACACGCAAGUGACAGCCGCCCGUCCUUGCACAGCAAGCAUCUCCGCGCACGGUCGCACGCUUCUCUAGCCCCAACGAACCGCAAACCACAAAUCAAGUCACACCCACCUCAGCAUUAGAAGUGCACACCCGCCUAUCGAAUGUCGGAUGAUGAUAAGGCAACAAGUAGGUCUACUGCACCCAUGCAUGGAUGGAAAGAAUCAAUGGACCUGUGGAUAUAGGAUCCGGCCUUCUCAAGGGUCCUCGCGCAUUUACUAAAGAGCCAAGGGGUCUAGUAUGUAAGAAUCAAUGCCAGUCUCAAGUCAAGCACACUGCUGCCGCUUCCUGGCAUCUGGAAUGCCGGAAGGGUCGGAGGAACUUGCACCCACAGAACGUACACGUCGUGUCACUGACAGCCCACUCGAGUCUUGUAAACAGUAAGAAUAGUGCCCGCUCCUGCAGCGAGCCAAGAUACGGUAACCUCGAUACUUCUUUGUGUCUCACCGCGGUACGCGCACAGACAUUAAUCUGCGGGCUCCCUCUCCGCACUCCUUCUGUCACUCCCGUGCGUCAGGUCGUUUCCGACGUCGCCUCCACUCCAUCUCCUACGUCCCAUGACUCACCUGUAGCCCCAGGCAGCCCUGCGUCCAUUGGCACAGCGCCCCUCGCCACCUGCCACCCUCUCGCUCAGCAAAUGAACGCACGCACGAUAGCAAAACACCAGCAGUCCGUAGUAUGGCCAAGGGGGGCUGCCGGUUCCCCGGUCCCAUACAGUCACACAUACAUCUUAUUAAGAAACAUCAGCAGGGUUUAUUUGGCGAGUCUCAGUAGAGAAAUAGACAUCCCUACAUCACCCAAUGCGCAUGGCAAUAUCGCACUGAGUGCUUGCUUGCGCAAGCAAUCCAGCAUCAAGUGCGGCCUUUGACACUCCCGCUCGCUCACAUACGGUGUAUUAUCAGUACAGCACGGCAACACUCGCGCGAAUCAGUCCUGUCUCCUGCGGUAAACGCCGACUACCGUAGCACGCCCUGCUGUCGUGCUGACAAUGAGAAAUGUGCGGCGGCACAGCCCUGCUGGUUCACUUGAUAGUGGGCCCGAUCAGUAGCUAGUAGCGGCGAUUUGCCUAGCCGUCUAUACUUGCACGCAUACGCUGCGGGUGUGCCUCACAUACCAUAAUACCCAGUGCUGCUUCUUUCGCAUAUAACACACGCUCAGCAUGCCCUGCUGGCUCACUUCGAUACUGUACCAUCCACACACGUACGUGUGACGAGCCCCUGUUGCAAAAGGCCGCCGGCACCACAGCUGCGGCUGCUGCGGCUGCUGCUGCCGCUGCUACUGCUGCAUCUUCAAAUGGCGAAGGCAGCAAGCCGCUGGCUGCUGGGCUCAUGCAGCUGACGGCGUAACACGGAAUGAAGCCAAACGGAACGGAGCGGCCCUUGCCGCUACCAGGCCGCCACCGCUGCCGGUGGCGGGAAGCAGCCGCACGCGCGCUCCAACGCGGCAAACUCCUCCAGCUCCCGCUCCUGCUCGGCCCACGCCGCCGCCGCCAGCUCGAUCGCCAGGCGCAGGCGCGAGGGCAUCACAGCUGACUGCCACUCAUCACCCUGCUGCACUGCCGCAAUUGGCGGAACGACACAGCUGCCCAUGCUGCUGCCGGCGGCGGUGCAGGCCUCCUUGUCAAUGCUCUGCCGCUCCGCUGCCACCUCCACCGCCUCCACCUGCUGCGGCGUCUCACUGCCUGCCGCCGCCGCCACCCAGACCAGACUGCAGCUGCUGGCGCUGCGGCUGGUGCGGGCGCUGUCCGGCACGGCGCAGCAGCACGAGCUGAGCGGCGAGUCAGGCGCGUCCGGCCGCUCAGUGACAACGGCCACCUCCUGCUCCGCUUCGGCCGCCGCCGGCACGCACUCGCCCUGGGCCUCUGCUUUCCCCAUCGCCGCCAGCUCCGCCGCCAUCCAGGGCGACAGCGAGGCGAGGUAGGCGCCGAAAUCGUCGGCCUCCUCCUCCUCGACGUCAUCCGCCCAGCGGCGGCCGCUGGGGGUGCCGCCGGUGCCGCUGGCAGAUCCCGCCGCCGCCUGCUCCGCCAGGCCCUCCUUCAACCAAUCUGCAAGCGACCCGAGGUCGAGCUCCUCCUCCUCCUCCGCCUCCUCGUGCGCCUCGACUUCAUCCGCCCAGCUACCGCUCGCGCCACCGCUGCUGCUAAUGCUGGCGCGAGGAGCAAUGCUGCUGCUGCUACUGCUGCUGCUGCUGCCGUCAGACUCUGACGCUGCCGCGGGCGCGGCCGGUGCGGCUUCCGCCUGCUGCUGCUCGGCCGCCGCGAGCUCCGCCAGUCCCUGCUUCACCCAGGGCGUCUGCUCAAAGAGGUCGCUCAGGUCGAGUCCGUCAGCCUCAUCCUCAUCAUCAUCGCCCCAUCGCGGCGUGGUCGAGCUGCGGUCGACGGUGGAGGUGGAGAUGGGGCUGGCAGCGGCGGCGGGCUUGGUCGGGGCGGCGGGCUUGGUCGGAGCCGCGAGCUUGGGCACCUUGGGCAGGCCGGGCGGCUUCUGCGGGCGCCAGUGGUUGUCGUAGGCAUGGCAAAGCUGGCAGGGGGCGCUCCUGCAGCCAGCAGAUAGGCUGGCAUAGCACCAGCGGAUGCAGAACUUGUGGGGAAAGCAGCAGGCGCUGGGGCCGGGCUCCUGCUGCUCCUGCUGGUGGGCGGCGGCGGAGGGCUCGCUCUCAUCAGAGCCAUGGCCUUGGCUGCGGGGCGUGUGGCGCCAGGCGUCCUGUGCAAACGAGAUCGGGGGAAAGGAUAGAUGGGGGCGGACAAGCCGUGAGUGCACGGGACGAGGACAAGGGUCGGGGCGCAGAGGGCGGGACAAAGGGCCGGGGGUCGGGGGCUCGAGCCCCGGCAAAAAAGUCAGGCGCACCGGAAAGGCACGCGCUUUCGGUCAAAGCUGUUGACCGACGCAUUUUACGAGACAAUACAUGCAGCAAUAUGCAGCCAGUGUGGCCGCAGCAGCGCAAGAAGGAAGGCUGAGGAAGCAGAGCGCACUACUGACCCGAAAUCUGCAACGCUAUAUAGCCCGCAUCCGAAGCCUAAUGCUUUGCAUGUGGCAUCAGAUACCCAUUGCAGCUGCUCAAGGCUCAAAAUGGCCGUGCCCGAACAUGAAUGGUGCUCACCUGCAUCGGUCGGCUCGGCUCGAAGUCAAGCCCCGGUGCACUUGCAAUUGACCGUGAUGUGGCCAUAGUAGCUCUUGACCGCACCAAGCACUCUUCGCGCGCAGAACUCGAUUCUGCUGCUAGCGCAAUUCUUUCGCUUGAUGGAGUUUCCUCGCGGUGCCCGGGAGGGAUUCGCGCUAGAAGCUGCUAGUUCGUGAUAGUGGUGGUGCUUGCCGCAGCGUUCAUGCGCAUGCGGUGGAAAUCGAGAGAGGUCGCGAACAGCCCUAGAAAUGCUCUUCUUUGCCGUCGAUAAGCUCAGGUGCUCGUAGCUAAGCAGUGGGCGUAAAAGCUGUUUGCGGGAUGUCUUUGCAUCUGUUGAUUGUGCAAUAUGAGCACAGCGCGAGAAGCUUUUAUCCGGUGGCGGGGACAGGGUCUCGGGCGCCCAUGCAGGCGACACGCGCCUAAUCCCGAGCCUCCCUCCUCGCCUUUACCUUGUCCCUGGACCCGCGCCAUCCGUGCCCCGCUGUUCACUUCCCUCGUUUCAUACCAGUUCCCCUCCCCUGCGUAGGCCGGUAACCCCUGAUCCCGCCGCUGCCAGGGAUGCAGCUGUGCAGGAUGAGGUUGACGGCUGUGGAUUGCAUUGGUUACAAGAGGGACCUGCUGACGCAGUUCACGAGCCAGUGACGUGUGGAAGUUGGUGUAGGUUGGCGGUGAUCCAGCGGGGUGGGUGCCGAUGUGCUAUAGUGGGCGCGAGGCUGUACACGUCAGGACCUGGCGAGUGUACUGCUAAAGCUGACUUUGUGAUGGCCCCCAAGCGUAGGUGAGGUAGGCGCACGGUGGUGACAAGGCAUGCGGCCAGUGGAACUGCCUUACAGUUACAGCCCGCCCAAGCGCGGUUGUUGCCCUGCCAUGAUUUCCGUGGAGUCUCUAGCUCCGGCAGGGACGGUCCCCAUCAGUUCCCGUAGUGGACCAUGCAUCCAGCCGCCCACACGUGCUCUCCGUUCGUCACAUACAGUACUCGAACUCCAAUGUCCACAGAGCGUGUGCGCGAAGUCCACACGCCACACACGCAAGUGGCAGCCGCCCGUCCUUGCACAGCAAGCAUCUCCGCGCACGGUCGCACGCUUCACUAGCCCCAACGAACCGCCUACCACAAAUCAAGUCACACCCACCUCAGCAUUAGGAGUGCACAUCCGCCUGUCGAAUGUCGGAUGAUGAUAGGGCAACAAGUAGGUCUAGAGAAAUGAAAGCUAGUAGGUCUACUGCACCCAUGCAUGGAUGGAAAGAAUCAAUGGACCUUUGGAUAUAGGAUCCGGCCUUCUCAAGGGUCCUCGCGCAUUUACUAAAGAGCCAAGGGGUCUAGUAUGUAAGAAGCAAUGCCAGUCUCAAGUCAAGCACACUGCUGCCGCUUCCUGGCAUCUGGAAUGCCGGAAGGGUCGGAGGAACUUGCACCCACAGAACGUACACGUCGUGUCACUGACAGCCCACUCGAGUCUUGUAAACAGUAGAAAUCGUGCCCGCUCCUGCAGCGAGCCAAGAUACGGUAACCUCGAUACUUCUUUGUGUCUCACCGCGGUACGCGCACAGACAUUAAUCUGCGGGCUCCCUCUCCGCACUCCUUCUGUCACUCCCGUGCGUCAGGUCUUCUCCGACGUCGCCUCCACUCCAUCUCCUACGUCCCAUGACUCACCUGUAGCCCCAGGCAGCCCUGCGUCCAUUGGCACAGCGCCCCUCGCCACCUGCCACCCUCUCGCUCAGCAAAUAAACGCACGCGCGAUAGCAAAACACCAGCAGUCCGUAGUAUGGCCAAGGGGGGCUGCCGGUUCCCCGGUCCCAUACAGUCACACAUACAUCUUAUUAAGAAAAAUCAGCAAGGUUUAUUUGGCGAGUCUCAGUAGAGAAAUAGACAUCCAUACAUCACCCAAUGCGCAUGGCAAUAUCGCACAGAGUGCUUGCUUGCGCAAGCAAUCCAGCAUCAAGUACGGCCUUUGACACUCCCGCUCGCUCACAUACGGUGUAAUAUCAGUACAGCACGGCAACACUCGCGCGAAUCAGUCCUGUGUCCUGCGGUAAACGCCGACUACCGUAGCACGCCCUGCUGUCGUGCUGACAAUGAGAAAUGUGCGGCGGCACAGCCCUGCUGGUUCACUUGAUAGUGAAUGGGCCCGAUCAGUAGCUAGUAGCGGCGAUUUGCCUAGCUGUCUAUACUUGCACGCAUACGCUGCGGGUGUGCCUCACAUACCAUAAUACCCAGUGCUGCUUCUUUCGCAUUUAACACACGCUCAGCAUGCCCUGCUGGCUCACUUCGAUACUGUGCCAUCCACACACGUACGUGUGACGAGCCCCUCUUGCGAACGGCCGUCGGCACCACAGCUGCGGCGGCUGCGGCUGCGGCUGCUGCUGCUCCUGCUGCUGCUACUGCUACUGCUGCAUCUUCAAGUGGCGAAGGCAGCAAGCCGCUGGCUGCUGGGCUCAUGCAGCUGACGGCGUAACACGGAAGCCAAACGGAACGGAGCGGCCCUUGCCGCUACCAGGCCGCCACCGCUGCCGGUGGCGGGAAGCAGCCGCACGCGCGCUCCAACGCGGCAAACUCCUCCAGCUCCCGCUCCUGCUCGGCCCACGCCGCCGCCGCCAGCUCGAUCGCCAGGCGCAGGCGCGAGGGCAUCACAGCUGACUGCCACUCAUCACCCUGCUGCACUGCCGCGAUUGGCGGAACGACACAGCUGCCCAUGCUGCUGCCGGCGGCGGUGCAGGCCUCCUUGUCAAUGCUCUGCCGCUCCGCUGCCACCUCCACCGCCUCCACCUGCUGCGGCGUCUCACUGCCUGCCGCCGCCGCCACCCAGACCAGACUGCAGCUGCUGGCGCUGCGGCUGGUGCGGGCGCUGUCCGGCACGGCGCAGCAGCACGAGCUGAGCGGCGAGUCAGGCGCGUCCGGCCGCUCAGUGACAACGGCCACCUCCUGCUCCGCUUCGGCCGCCGCCGGCACGCACUCGCCCUGGGCCUCUGCUUUCCCCAUCGCCGCCAGCUCCGCCGCCAUCCAGGGCGACAGCGAGGCGAGGUAGGCGCCGAAAUCGUCGGCCUCCUCCUCCUCGACGUCAUCCGCCCAGCGGCGGCCGCUGGGGGUGCCGCCGGUGCCGCUGGCAGAUCCCGCCGCCGCCUGCUCCGCCAGACCCUCCUUCAACCAAUCUGCAAGCGACCCGAGGUCGAGCUCCUCCUCCUCCUCCGCCUCCUCGUGCGCCUCGACUUCAUCCGCCCAGCUACCGCUCGCGCCACCGCUGCUGCUAAUGCUGGCGCGAGGAGCAAUGCUGCUGCUGCUACUGCUGCUGCUGCUGCCGUCAGACUCUGACGCUGCCGCGGGCGCGGCCGGUGCGGCUUCCGCCUGCUGCUGCUCGGCCGCCGCGAGCUCCGCCAGUCCCUGCUUCACCCAGGGCGUCUGCUCAAAGAGGUCGCUCAGGUCGAGUCCGUCAGCCUCAUCCUCAUCAUCAUCGCCCCAUCGCGGCGUGGUCGAGCUGCGGUCGACGGUGGAGGUGGAGAUGGGGCUGGCAGCGGCGGCGGGCUUGGUCGGGGCGGCGGGCUUGGUCGGAGCCGCGAGCUUGGGCACCUUGGGCAGGCCGGGCGGCUUCUGCAGGCGCCAGUGGUUGUCGUAGGCAUGGCAAAGCUGGCAGGGGGCGCUCCUGCAGCCAGCAGAUAGGCUGGCAUAGCACCAGCGGAUGCAGGACUUGUGGGGAAAGCAGCAGGCGCUGGGGCCGGGCUCCUGCUGCUCCUGCUGGUGGGCGGCGGCGGAGGGCUCGCUCUCAUCAGAGCCAUGGCCUUGGCUGCGGGGCGUGUGGCGCCAGGCGUCCUGUGCAAACGAGAUCGGGGGAAAGGAUAGAUGGGGGCGGACAAGCCGUGAGUGCACGGGACGAGGACAAGGGUCGGGGCGCAGAGGGCGGGAGCAAGGGCCGGGGGUCAGGGGCUCGAGCCCCGGCAAAAAAAUCAGGCACACACCGGAAAGGCACGCGCUUUCGGUCAAAGCUGUUGACCGACGCAUUUUACGAGACAAUACAUGCAGCAAUAUGCAGCCAGUGUGGCCGCAGCAGCGCAAGAAGGAAGGCCGAGGAAGCCGAGCGCACUACUGGCCCGAAAUCUGCAACGCUAUAUAGCCCGCAUCCGAAGCCUAAUGCUUUGCAUGUGGCAUCAGAUACCCAUUGCAGCUGCUCAAGGCUCAAAAUGGCCGUGCCCGAACAUGAAUGGUGCUCACCUGCAUCGGUCGGCUCGGCUCGAAGUCAAGCCCCGGUGCACUUGCAAUUGACCGUGAUGUGGCCAUAGUAGCUCUUGACCGCACCAAGCACUCUUCGCGCGCAGAACUCGAUUCUGCUGCUAGCGCAAUUCUUUCGCUUGAUGGAGUUUCCUCGCGGUGCCCGGGAGGGAUUCGCGCUAGAAGCUGCUAGUUCGUGAUAGUGGUGGUGCUUGCCGCAGCGUUCAUGCGCAUGCGGUGGAAAUCGAGAGAGGUCGCGAACAGCCCUAGAAAUGCUCUUCUUUGCCGUCGAUAAGCUCAGGUGCUCGUAGCUAAGCAGUGGGCGUAAAAGCUGUUUGCGAGAUGUCUUUGCAUCUGUUGAUUGUGCAAUAUGAGCACAGCGCGAGAAGCUUUUAUCCGGUGGCGGGGACAGGGUCUCGGGCGCCCAUGCAGGCGACACGCGCCCAAUCCCGAGCCUCCCUCCUCGCCUUUACCUUGUCCCUGGACCCGCGCCAUCCGUGUCCCGCUGUUCACUUCCCGCGUUUCAUACCAGUCCCCCUCCCCUGCGUAGGCCGGUAACCCCUGAUCCCGCCGCUGCCAGGGAUGCAGCUGUGCAGGAUGAGGUUGACGGCUGUGGAAGUUGGUGUGUGAUGGGACAGGGUUCAGGCAGGUUGGCGAGGUCCCAUAGGGUGCAGCUGACGCCCGUACCCCAAGCAGACAGCAAACAGUUUGCAGCGGCAGAGCAGGAGUGCAUGGCUGGUCGAACGCCGGAGUUACUGUACCGACAAGUUGCUGGCUGGCUGGAAGUUGGUGUAGGUUGGCGGUGAUCCAGCGGGGUGGGUGCCGAUGUGCUAUAGCGGGCGCGAGGCUGUACACGUCAGGACCUGGCGAGUGUACUGCUAAAGCUGGCUUUGUGAUGGCCCCCAAGCGUAGGUGAGGUAGGCGCACGGUGGUGACAAGGCAUGCGGCCAGUGGAACUGCCUUACAGUUACAGCCCGCCCAAGCGCGGUUGUUGCCCUGCCAUGAUUUCCGUGGAGUCUGCUAGGCAGUCGGCAGGGACGGUGCCCAUCAGUUCCCGAAGUGGACAAACCAUGCAUCCAGCCGCCCACACGUGCUCUCCGUUCGUCACAUACAGUACUCGAACUCCAAUGUCCACAGAGCGUGUGCGCGAAGUCCACACGCUACACACGCAAGUGGCAGCCGCCCGUCCUUGCACAGCAAGCAUCUCCGCGCACGGUCGCACGCUUCACUAGCCCCAACGAACCGCCUACCACAAAUCAAGUCACACCCACCUCAGCAUUAGGAGUGCACAUCCGCCUGUCGAAUGUCGGAUGAUGAUAGGGCAACAAGUAGGUCUAGAGAAAUGAAAGCUAGUAGGUCUACUGCACCCAUGCAUGGAUGGAAAGAAUCAAUGGACCUGUGGAUAUAGGAUCCGGCCUUCUCAAGGGUCCUCGCGCAUUUACUAAAGAGCCAAGAGGUCUAGUAUGUAAGAAUCAAUGCCAGUCUCAAGUCAAGCACACUGCUGCCGCUUCCUGGCAUCUGGAAUGCCGGAAGGGUCGGAGGAACUUGCACCCACAGAACGUACACGUCGUGUCACUGACAGCCCACUCGAGUCUUGUAAAC